rnacentral:lncRNA from 1 species
CAGCCUUAAGGGAGUUUUCUGAGAUACAUGCACUGUUGAAGCCUGAUCUGCUUAAGGGUGGGGAAGCAUGUGCAAGGUUGUUGACUCCAGUUUCUUCGUGAGGCGUGAGGCUCAGUCACGAAGAGGUUUUUUGCUCACUAUGAUGCAGAAAUUUGUGAUCUUGGCAGUCGAGUACACGCGUAUGGAGUACGACAAUGCUAAGGCUGCU